rnacentral:sRNA from 1 species
GGUUAGGCUUGCUGAACCCUCUUCACGUUUUCGACCCGAGCCCAAAUAUAGCUUAUACUUCGAGACAUUUAUGUUUAUUCCACAAUAUAAUAUCAAUUUUACACAUCAAACAAGUUAUUUUCAACAAAUUUCGCUGAAUAUCUGCAGUUGAAACUAUCACGCCAUGGCGUCAACAAAGCAAAAAGAUGACGUCACAAUACAAAUGAAACGCUGCGCGAAAGUGUGCGUACUCGUUCUGUACUCGGCCUCGUUAAGUUAAUCUUACAGUCAUAGUUCUUAUGUGUAAGGAGAGAGAGAGAGAGAGAGCGAGCGAGAGAAUAAUUAAACUAUAAUUUAAACCCCCCCCCCCCCUACCAUGAUAAAUAAUUUUUUUUCUUAUAUACAUUUGAAAAUAGAAUUCAGUGCAUAAUUCAGGACAAAUUACAUGUCGUAAAAAAAAAUUAUGACAAUCAGAAUUCUUUACUUUAUUUGUAUUCAUCUUCAUUGCACAAAGCUUAUGUCAUGAAAAACAUGAAUUUGAUUUCAUCUUGUUGUCAAUAUGCUCUGUUUAUUGCUGUUUUUUUAAAUUUUAUAGUGUGACUUGUUUAGUCGUUAGCAUGUGUUAAAAGUACAUAUUGUUGUCAUUAGAAGGAUUAUAUCCUAUUUUUUAAUCUAUCCAUAUUUUACAUGUACACACCAUCAUACUUAGUGACAUUCAGAUCUGUAAAGUUGAAAGGCUCCAUGAUCAUUGUUUUAUUUUAUAAAUUGUUUUACUUUUUCUUGUUCUCUUUGUUUUAUUAUAUAUAUUCUAUUCACUGUUGGCAUAUGUUUUAUAAAAUUAAAAAAAAAAAUUAAAU